ACGAACGCUGGCGGCGUGCUUAACACAUGCCAGUCGAACGGAAAGGCCCCUUUGGGGGUACUCGAGUGGCGAACGGGUGAGUAACACGUGAGUAACCUGCCCUUGACUUCGGGAUAACUUCAGGAAACUGGGGCUAAUACCGGAUAGGAAUCCUUGCUGCAUGGUGGGGGUUGGAAAGCUUCGGCGGUUUUGGAUGGACUCGCGGCUUAUCAGCUUGUUGGUGGGGUAGUGGCUUACCAAGGCUUUGACGGGUAGCCGGCCUGAGAGGGCGACCGGCCACAGUGGGACUGAGAUACGGCCCAGACGCCUACGGGAGGCAGCAGUGGGGAAUAUUGCACAAUGGGCGGAAGCCUGAUGCAGCAACGCCGCGUGCGGGAUGACGGCCUUCGGGUUGUAAACCGCUUUCAGCAGGGGCGAAGCUUGUGGUGACGGUACCUGCAGAAGAAGCACCGGCUAACUACGUG
rnacentral:rRNA from 1 species